rnacentral:rRNA from 1 species
GAUGAACGCUGGCGGCGUGCCUAAUACAUGCAAGUCGAGCGAACGGACGAGAAGCUUGCUUUUCUGAUGUUAGCGGCGGACGGGUGAGUAACACGUGGAUAACCUACCUAUAAGACUGGGAUAACUUCGGGAAACCGGAGCUAAUACCGGAUAAUAUUUUGAACCGCAUGGUUCAAAAGUGAAAGACGGUCUUGCUGUCACUUAUAGAUGGAUCCGCGCUGCAUUAGCUAGUUGGUAAGGUAACGGCUUACCAAGGCAACGAUGCAUAGCCGACCUGAGAGGGUGAUCGGCCACACUGGAACUGAGGCACGGUCCAGACUCCUACGGGAGGCAGCAGUAGGGAAUCUUCCGCAAUGGGCGAAAGCCUGACGGAGCAACGCCGCGUGAGUGAUGAAGGUCUUCGGAUCGUAAAACUCUGUUAUUAGGGAAGAACAUAUGUGUAAGUAACUGUGCACAUCUUGACGGUACCUAAUCAGAAAGCCACGGCUAACUACAUG